AUUGAACUCUGGCGGCAGGCCUAACACAUGCAAGUCGAACGAGUGGCGGACGGGUGCGUAAUGUCUGGGAAACUGCCUGAUGGCGGGGGAUAACUACUGGAAACUGUAGCUAAUACCGCAUAUCAUCGGAUGUGCCCAGAUGUGAUUAGCUAGUAGGUGGGGUAAAGGCUCACCUAGGCGACGAUCCCUAGCUGGUCUGAGAGGAUGACCAGCCACACUGGAACUGAGACACGGUCCGGACUCCUACGUGAGGCAGCAGUGGGGAAUAUUGCACAAUGGGCGCAAGCCUGAUGCAGCCAUGCCGCGUGUAUGAAGAAGGCCUGCGGGUUGUAAAGUACUUUCAGCGGGGAGACGUUACCCGCAGAAGAAGCACCGGCUGACUCCGUACCAGCAGCCGCGGUAAUUC
rnacentral:rRNA from 1 species